ACCUGGCUGGCUCAGUUGGUAGAGUGUGUGACUCUUGAUCUCAGGGUCAUGAGUUCAAGCCACAUGUUAAGCA
rnacentral:tRNA from 1 species